rnacentral:ncRNA from 2 species
CCCGCUCUAACGGGGUGCUGCGCGGUAACGUGCGGCUGAGAGGCUUUCAGCCAACCCGCGGAACCUGAUCCGGCUAACACCGGCGGAGGGAUUAGACGCCUCACGCUC